rnacentral:rRNA from 1 species
GACGAACGCUGGCGGCGUGCUUAACACAUGCAAGUCGCACGAAGUGGCGAACGGGUGAGUAACGCGUAAUCAACCUGCCCUUCAGAGGGGGACAACAGUUGGAAACGACUGAUAAUACCGCAUACUGAAGGAGGGGAUUGCGUCGGAUUAGCUAGUUGGCGGGGUAAUGGCCCACCAAGGCGAUGAUCAGUAGCCGGGUGGGGUGGAUGAACAGCCACAAUGGGAAUGGGACAAGGCCCAGAAUCCUGCGGGAGGCAGCAAUGGGGAAUCUUCCGCAAAUGACGAAAGUCUGACGGAGGAACGCCGCGUGAGUGAUUACGGCCUUCGGGUUGUAAAGCUCUGUUAAGCGGGACGCGGUACCGGAAUAGAAAGCCACGGCUAACUACGUGCCAGCAGCCGCGGUAAUAC